rnacentral:rRNA from 1 species
UUCUUAGUGGCGGACGGGUGAGUAACGCGUGGGUAACCUGCCCUGUACAGGGGGAUAACACUUAGAAAUAGGUGCUAAAACCGCAUAAGCGCACAGUACCGCAUGGUACAGUGUGAAAAACUCCGGUGGUACAGGAUGGACCCGCGUCUGAUUAGCUGGUUGGAGGGGUAACGGCCCACCAAGGCGACGAUCAGUAGCCGGCCUGAGAGGGUGAACGGCCACAUUGGGACUGAGACACGGCCCAAACUCCUACGGGAGGCAGCAG